GCUUGCUCCCGGAUGUUAGCGGCGGACGGGUGAGUAACACGUGGGUAACCUGCCUGUAAGACUGGGAUAACUCCGGGAAACCGGAGCUAAUACCGGAUAGUUCCUUGAACCGCAUGGUUCAAGGAUGAAAGACGGUUUCGGCUGUCACUUACAGAUGGACCCGCGGCGCAUUAGCUAGUUGGUGGGGUAAUGGCUCACCAAGGCGACGAUGCGUAGCCGACCUGAGAGGGUGAUCGGCCACACUGGGACUGAGACACGGCCCAGACUCCUACGGGAGGCAGCAGUAGGGAAUCUUCCGCAAUGGACGAAAGUCUGACGGAGCAACGCCGCGUGAGUGAUGAAGGUUUUCGGAUCGUAAAGCUCUGUUGUUAGGGAAGAACAAGUGCGAGAGUAACUGCUCGCACCUUGACGGUACCUAACCAGAAAGCCACGGCUAACUACGUGCCAGCAGCCGCGGUAAUACGUAGGUGGCAAGCGUUGUCCGGAAUUAUUGGGCGUAAAGGGCUCGCAGGCGGUUUCUUAAGUCUGAUGUGAAAGCCCCCGGCUCAACCGGGGAGGGUCAUUGGAAACUGGGAAACUUGAGUGCAGAAGAGGAGAGUGGAAUUCCACGUGUAGCGGUGAAAUGCGUAGAGAUGUGGAGGAACACCAGUGGCGAAGGCGACUCUCUGGUCUGUAACUGACGCUGAGGAGCGAAAGCGUGGGGAGCGAACAGGAUUAGAUACCCUGGUAGUCCACGCCGUAAACGAUGAGUGCUAAGUGUUAGGGGGUUUCCGCCCCUUAGUGCUGCAGCUAACGCAUUAAGCACUCCGCCUGGGGAGUACGGUCGCAAGACUGAAACUCAAAGGAAUUGACGGGGGCCCGCACAAGCGGUGGAGCAUGUGGUUUAAUUCGAAGCAACGCGAAGAACCUUACCAGGUCUUGACAUCCUCUGACAACCCUAGAGAUAGGGCUUUCCCUUCGGGGACAGAGUGACAGGUGGUGCAUGGUUGUCGUCAGCUCGUGUCGUGAGAUGUUGGGUUAAGUCCCGCAACGAGCGCAACCCUUGAUCUUAGUUGCCAGCAUUCAGUUGGGCACUCUAAGGUGACUGCCGGUGACAAACCGGAGGAAGGGGGGGAUGACGUCAAAUCAUCAUGCCCCUUAUGACCUGGGCUACACACGUGCUACAAUGGACAGAAACAAAGGGCUGCAAGACCGCAAGGUUUAGCC
rnacentral:rRNA from 1 species